AUGACCGCCACCUGCUCCUUCUCGCGGCCGCCGCCACCGCCGCGCUCGCCGCGGCGGCCGCGGCCGCGCGCCGCCUGCGGAUGCGCCGCUCCCCGCAGUCCGGCUCCGUGCAGUGGUUCAUCGGCGACGAGGGCAACAGGCCGCACCACGCCCGCGACAGCAAGGGCAGGGGUAGCGCCGCCGCCGCGCACGGCCGCGUGGUGCGAGAGGGCGUCGAGUUCUACAUCAAUGGGGACUGCUACGAGGGGGAGUUCCACGACCACAAGGGCCGCUGCAACGGCAGCGGCGUCUACAACUUCUUCGGCAAGGGCAAGUACGAGGGGGACUGGGUGGACGACAAGUACGAUGGCUACGGCAUCGAGAGCUGGGCGCGCGACAGCCGCUACCGCGGCCAGUAUCGCCAGUGCCUCCGCCAUGGCCACGGCGUCUACCGCUUCUAUAGCGGCGACUGCUACGCCAGCGAGUGGGCCGGCGGCCAGAGCCACGGCAUCGGCGCGCAGACGAUUUCACAGACUACCCGUAAGAGCAGAGCUGAUCGAUGUUGAUUUUAUUCCAGAGUUCAGUUCGAUCAGACUAGUAGCUAGUAUUCCAUCCCAUCGUUCUAAGUAG
rnacentral:rRNA from 1 species